GUAAAGUAACAUACAAAAGGUUGAAAGAGUAUUGUUCCCCAUAUUUCUAAUCACUAUGCUUUGUUACAAGUGAUGAGAUUUGUUUUUUAUUAAUCAGUCCUUACACACAUUCUAUAUUUCCCAGAUCAAAACAGAUCCCAAGACAAAACAAGAGAGAGAAUAACACCAGAUGCACCAUUUUUCUUUUCUAUCCAUUUCCUGAGGGCCCCGAUGUUAUGCUUUAAAAGACACUUUUCUGUGACUUUUGGCUUAUUUGGUGUUUUCUGUAUAAAUGAAAUACAGUAAAAGCUGAAGAAGCGUUUCUUAGAAGUUUGACAGUACAGUAGUUAAGGAAGUACUGCCUCCAACUUGGCAACAGCAUGUCAUAGAAGCCAGUGAGGAUUAAUCAUCUAAUUUUAUGUGGA